GUUGGGCACUCUAGCGAGACUGCCGGUAAUAAACCGGAGGAAGUGGGGAUGACGUCAAAUCAUCAUGCCCCUUAUGACCUGGGCUACACACGUGCUACAAUGGUUGGUACAACGAGUUGCGAGUCGGUGACGGCGAGCUAAUCUCUUAAAGCCAAUCUCAGUUCGGAUUGUAGGCUGCAACUCGCCUACAUGAAGUCGGAAUCGCUAGUAAUCGCGGAUCAGCACGCCGCGGUGAAUACGUUCCCGGGCCUU
rnacentral:rRNA from 1 species